GAGAAUCUCAAGCGGACUCAGCACUGAGCGCAGAGCCCUGUACCGGCCUUGAUCUCAUGACCCUGAGAUUAUGACCCUGAGAUCACCACCUGAGCCAAAACCAGGGGUCAGAUGCUCAACUCACUGCACUUAUCCAGGCGCCCCAGGCUUGAUUUAGUUCUUAACAUGAAGUGAGAAACAGACACCAAGACCUAUGGAUUUGGUCUCCUCACUGUCUUUUGAGCUUGUCCUCUUCUUUCUGCCCAUGAUAUCCUUGUCUUCCCCUUGAGAGGUGAGUUUUGGAGGGCAUGCAUGGCCUUUCAUUUACUUAUUUCACCCCUAGUUAGUUAGUACAAUAGCUGAACACACAGAAAAUAUAUUUAGAAUGAAUACAUGACCAUCAACAAUUUAUUGUGAGGCCACUUCUGCAUUAAGGGGCAGGUUGAAAAAAAAUGAAAAGAAGGGGGGGGCAGGUUGAUCUAUUCAUUUAUUCAUUCAAUAAAUAUUUUUGAACAUCUACUAUGUGCACUGGGGAUAUAUGAAUGAAUAAGACCACAGUGGUUUUUUCCCAAAACAUCAUAGCCUAGUUCAGAGGAAACUAUGUAAACAAAAUUUAACUUUGCUCAGGAAAUGUUAUAAAAAGAAAUAUACCUGAUAAGCUUAACUGCUCAACUCAACUGGGUCUCCAGAAUAUCAGAUUGCCACCAUGCUGCAAGAGCCUGCAACCAGCUCAGGCCUAUGUUCUUUGAGAAGCUUCUGGAAGAUGUGGAUGUCACAAGACUGAAGGUAGAUCCUCCCAGAAGUAACAGAGGACACUAAUAUCUGAAUAUGUGAACUAGCAAGUUCAGGAGGGCAAGCCACAGGUCUGGUUCUGACCACUAGCCUCUCCUUGCUAGGAACUAUUCUCCCUUAGUCUAGAGAUUUCUCAUGUUUUCAUUUUUCCACUUGGGCUUCAUCUGUUUCCAUAUCACAUUCUGUUCCAUGCUGGCUCUGGUCAAACUGGUCACUGUUUAGAAUGAAAGCAUACACAGAGCUACAGAGCUUUUGAUUUUCAGUCUGCAGGUGUUUAAAGCUCAGACUUUCUGUUUGACUUCACAAACAUAGUUAGCUGUUUUAUGAUCACCCUAGUCAUUUAUUCUCCUGUUUUCACUUUUAUGGACCCAAGCCAAUGCAUGAAAUUUUAGACAUGAGAAGCCCCUCCAAUGUUAUAUAUUCUGUUAACCAGUUCAUUGGAAAUGCUUGUAAUGUGUUUUCUUCUCUCCUUUGUUAAAGCAUCUUCUGCAGCUUCAUCGUGAGAAUGGUUUUAUAGACCACUUGGAUUUAAGCAGGAAAAAAUAAUAAAUCUUGGCUAAGUGUGGCCUGGAAGACUUUCCCUCACUACUCACAUGCUUUUCUCCCUACUUAUUUCUGAUCUCCAACUAAUAAAUGUGCCCCAGCUAUAGUCUUUCUGCAACGAAAUGUGAUUUUGUUACUUUAUCAGUUUCAUGCUCUUCCCACCCUGCCAAGGACACUAGCAAGCCUUGUCUCAACCACUCUCCUUGAGGUCAUCACACCCUUACACGUGAAAUCAUGAGAACAACAUCAGACAAAAAAACAAAGUGAGAGACAUUAUGAAAUACAUGACCAAUACUUCUCAAAACUGUUAAGAUCAUCAAAAACGAGGAAAGUCUGAGAAACUAUCACAGCCAAGAAGAGUCUAAGGAGACAUGACAACUAAGUGUAAUGUAUCCUGCAUGGGGUCCUGAAACAGGUGAAGGCUAUUCAGAAAAACUUGUGAAAUUUUAAUAAAACAUGGUUUAGCGAAUAAUAAUGUAUCAAUAUGGAUUCAUUAGUUGUGAUAAGUGUAUCACAGCAAUCUCAAAUGUUAAC